rnacentral:lncRNA from 10 species
AACAGCGAAAGCAAAAGUGGUUCGGCACAGACAUUGUUUAAAAUGGCUGCGUUAAAAAUACCAUCUCGGCUUCACAGAUUUCUGGAGCUGUGAGGAGCAUCCUCAUUUAUGUGCUCUGAUGAAGAUCCAACUAGCACAAUGUCAAUGAUGAAAUGGACCAGUGUCAUAUUCUGCGGGAUAUCAAGGCAAUCAAGAUCAUCUUGGACUGUAUUGUGACAGAGGGCCAGGGAGUGAACAGAGCCCUUAUAAUGUUUGGGCCCUCAUGGGUGACAGAAAAGUACCAGAGUUCUGGUUCCUCUUUGAACACACAUGUUCUCUGGGUUUCGCCUUGCAGCCCAAGAAGAGAGGAGGCUUGGAAUCACCACACUUCCCACAGCAAGGGCAAUCUUUAAAGGCAGUAAGGUGUGACGCUCCAGACUGGCAGCUUGGCAAGACAGAGCCCAUGGAUACCAGCACACGGGAAUCUGGACGGCUCACUCUGACAGCAGUCAGCACUGGGAACAAAAGGAAUGGAGGGAAAAAAGCGCAAAUGUAUUUUUACAUAUUGUAGGCAUAUGGCCACAAGACCAGCAGAAAUAUAUUUAAUUACCAAUUGCACGCAUUGAGGAGAAAAACACUGGAAAUGGGGGAAAAACUGUAUACACAGCAAUAUUAUUCUAAUUUAACUUUUCACCUCAGUUUUUUUUUUCUUUCUUUAAUUGAAAAUGGAAGGGAAUGUGGGUUGGAAUCGCAAAGGGUUAUCUUCUGGAAUUCUAUCAAAGGUGAUGUGGGAUUUUGACAUGCCUUCUUUAACAGCAUAACAUUAUAGAAAGAAAUAGGAAAGUUUUCUUUUAGUUAUUUUAAUUAUGAAAUAAUUUGACCAAGGCGUUUUGGGGGAGUGGGGCAGACCGGAUUUGAAAUAUAACAGUUAGACAAUCUUACUGUCAUGUUAAAACUGUACUUUUGAUGUUACACAUUAGGCCUCAACAAUUAAUAACCUAAUCUUGAAAAAUUAUAUUCUUGUUCUUUUCUAUGAAAGCAGAAUACUUCAACCCCAUUUAUUGUCAGGUAUUGUCCUAGCCAGUGGAGGUACAGAGGUGAAUCAGAUGUCAUCCCUGCACUGAAGAAGCAUAGCCUAGGCUGGGAGACAAAUACACAUAUAUAUAAUUAUAAUGUUAUACCAUUAAAUUAUUAAAUAUGUGAAAAUUAUCAUUAGCUAAAAUCACAAUUAUAAUACACAUAAUACCAUCUAUAUAAGGCAAUGAUGUAGCUAUAUGAAUCCAGGGGCCAUAGAGGAUUGACUCUUAGUUCAGUCUGGGUGUCAGUCACACUGGAGGACCAGGGAGGAGACCUCUUCCAGGAAAAGCUGAUGAAAAGGAUCAGUGAGAAAAAGCCCGGGAAGAAGGCAGUUGCAUUUUGCAGAAUGAAGGAGUUUGGGCCAGUGUGAGCCAGCUCCCUUCCUAGGGUGCCGGCUCAGGGAGUCAGGUAAUGGGGCCAGGGAAACGUGUGCCCACUGACUUGGGAAAGAGAGAGGGGCCCAUACCUCCUUCUUGGCAGGAAAGAAAAUCACAGCCCCGAAAAAGUAACUUGCCAGGAGCCCCCUUCUUUGUAGCAUUCCUAUCACUGACUUCCUGUUAGCCUGGGUCUCCUGUUCUCACCCUGCUCUUUGAAAUCCUUGGUGGCCAGUGCCGGCUAUGUAGGUGACCUGUGCUCCCUGGUCCCAUGGAGGUUCUGCCCAGCUGACCAGCCUUGCAGUCUGUUUCUGCAGCCCAGAUAAUGGUUCAGAGGCAUGUUAAUGUGUGCUUUGCUUUAUGUAGCAAAUAUCAUCUUGAAAAGUUUUUUUGUACAUUUACUUUUUUUUUGUAAAGCGACCUACAUAAUAAAAGCACUAGGGGAGCUGGUUAUUUAAAGGAACCCUGUAGUGAAUCUUUUCAUAAUGUAGAAGCCAUUCCUUAAUUAAUCUUUGUUUUUCAUCAGACAUACCUGUGCCUCUGUGGCUUUUCUUUUUUUUUUUUUCUAAGAGGAAGCGGCCUAGGCUAUAGUGCCAAGUGCGUGAGACUGAGGGCCAGGGCUUCCAGAGCGCAUGCUGAGCUGUUGCUGGCUGCCACUGGGUUGAGGAUGUGAGCAUAACCUUGGGGUCAGUUCUAUCUUCUGACAAAGGCACAAUCAAAUGGGCUUAGGUUCAAAUCCGGGUUUUACCAUCCAUCGACUUCAUUUGGCAAUUCACUUGUUUCCUUGAAUGUUAGUUCUUUACCCAUGUACUGGGUGGUUACAUACGUCAAAUCAAAAAGUUUCUCCGAGGGCCUGGCAUCAUAGCUAUGACUAAGGGUUUGCUUGCCCCCACUCCAAUUCUACUCUGCUCCACUCUGCAACAGCCCCUUGGAGCAAGAGCCACAGCUGGACUUGUUGGGAGGAAAUACUUGUUAACUUGGGACCUCCCUGCAACUGUUUCCUCAGAGGAGAGGAAAUGCCCACUCUACUCCCCAGGAGGAAGGUGGAUAAAAGACAAUAUUUUAGACUAUUCUUUACCCCUGGUUACCCAUGGUAAAAAGUGAUUGAUCUUAAUAGUAAAGUUUCAGAUACAGCCAUCUUGGGCAGGUCUGUACAUUCAAGUAUGGUAGUAUGGGCUGCCCUCCCCCACCGCCACACCCUCAGACAGGCCCAUAUGUUUUAAAUUGAUCCAAAUCUGCUCUUUUUUUCCAUAUCUGAGCCCACCCCUGUGGCUCUUCAGGAGCUUUUGGUCUGAGCAAGGGUCCCACAGCCUCCCCUGAUCCUGUUUCAUCAGUUAUAAACCUGUUGGAACAUUGUGUCUGCUCAGCUUGCUAGAACUUUUUACCUCCCUAUCCUCUAGCUGCUGGGGAGGGCAGACACCUGCUUGGCACCACACAUGCUUUCCGGUCAUCUGGUCACCUGUGGGCCUGCAGCUAGGGUGGUGGUUGUGGCUGGAGCUUAGAGCCACAUCCAGUGAGGGUCACAGAGCUCCUCAGAGAAGUGCUGGGAGUGAGACUCCAACCCGCCCCAGCACUGAGGUGGGGUUGAGGGAUGUGGCUGAAUGACCAAGGGGAUGGCCAUAGACUCUAUCCAGGAAGAGAAAUCCCAAGGGCAGGCAGGUUAACCUGUCCCCACAAACUCAUGUCCAGGCCCUGGGGUUCCCAACCCUGACUGAUGAGAACCGACAGCUAUACCCUUUUGGUUGGCAUUUCUGAGAAUUGCGUGGACAAUUCUCUUCUCUUUUCUUACUGAAGGAAGGACAGAUAUAGAGGUGGUUCUAACUCUGGUGCUGGUAUAUUUGUGACUAUCACUGGGAUCAUAUUACCAGAGUAAGUUUGACCAAUUUGGAGAAUUGGCCUUGGAGAGGUCAACACUUAAGAGAAAGGCCAAGGCCAUGGCCUGGCUCAAAUGGAUCCCAUUUCUUGCACAUGAGUUACACUGACUCAGUUAUUGGAGAGCCCUCUUGUGCUUGGGUAGGAAUUUGAAAUGUUGAAGUAGUCAUGGGUUAGGGACCUGCUGCUAAUGACCCUCCUGUAACCCAAACUUAAGAUACUUCUGGAAAAUAGACUACAUCAGAAGACUUCUAAGGUCCCUCAUUCACUCAUUCAUCUAUUCUUUUAUCUGGGAUUUAUCAGGGACCUACCAUGUACCAGGUUCUAUACCACCUGUUGGAGAAACAAUGGUGAAUGAGUCCCUGCACUUCCAAGGCUUGCAGUCCAGUAGUAGAGAGGCAAGUGAAGACAAUUAACUCGGUAUGAGAAGCACAAAAGAUAGAUAGGGGAGCACAGACCAGGGACAGCACACCCAGUUUAGAGGGACUGGGAAACAUUUCUGGAGAAAAUGAUCAGUAAUGUUAGGUGUUUUUGUCCAGGAAAGGCUGAGGGGGGUGACAACACCCUUCCAAGAAGGCUUGCACUGUGAACAACACUGAAGUGACUUGCCCAGGGGCACUCUAUAAGUAGCAGAGCCUGGAUUGUUCAAAAGUGAAACCCUACGUUCUUAGUCACGUUGCUCCACUGUCAAUAUUGAAAUGAUUAUUCAAGAGGCCCAACUAUUGAUUAUAAACAAUAGUGCAUUGCAGAUCUGGCUGCUUUCUUGGCCAUGUGGGGCUUUGAGCUCUAGCCCCUAAAUCAGCAGAGAAAACACAAUCCAGCCACAGAUGGUGGCUCACACCUGUAAUCCUAGCACUUUGGGAGGCUAAGGCGGGUGGAUCACCUGAGGUCAGGAGUUCGACACCAGCCUGGCCAACAUGGUGAAACCCGUCUCUACUAAAAAUACAAAAAAAUUAGCUGAGCGUUGUGGCAGGCACCUGUAAGUCUCAGCUACUUGGGAGGCUGAGGCAGGAGAAUCGCUUGAACCCAAGAGACAGAAGUUGAAGUGAGCAGAGAUUGCACCACUGCACUCUAGUCUGGGUGACAGAGUGAGACUCUGAAAAAAAAAAGAAGGAAGAAAGGAAGGAAGGGAGAAAGGAAAGAGAGAAAAGAAAGAAAGAAAAAGAAAGAGGGAAGAAAGAAAAAGAAAGGAAAGAAAAAGAAAGAAAAGAAAAAGAAAGAAAAAAGAAAGAAAAAGAAAGAAAGAAAAAGAAAGGAAGAAAGAAAGGAAGAAGAGAAGAAAGGAAGAAAGAAAGGAAAGAAAGAAAGAAAGAAAGAAAGAAAGAAAGAAAGAAAGAAAGAAAAAGAAAGAAAGAAAGAGAAAGAAAGAAAAAGAAAACACAAUCCAAACUAUUGAGUAGUCAGGGGAGUUAGGCAGGAACAAUACCGAUGUUGUCUGGACCCUGAAUAACAUAUUCCAAACAACUUUCUCAUUGCCUAAGUAAGUCGAAAGUACUGUUUUGCAAUUUGGUUGCAGUGUGCAAGUUUGGUUGAUUUCAUGUGUCUUAAAGAAUUAUGCUCUGUAGACACCAUGUGAUUACUUUUUAAAGUGAAGUGAAGUAAGAGUGAUACUUAAUAUCACAGUAUUAGGGCAAUGCCUUUAUAAAUUAGAUGCCUACUUUAAAAUUUAUAAAAUUGUGGCACCAAAUAUAUGUACAGUCAACCUGCUGUAUCUGGAGGUUCCACGUCUGUGGAUUCAACUAAUCAUGGAUUGAAAACAUUUUUACAAGAUGGCUGGUCAUGUCUGUCCUGAACAUGUAUGAAAUUUUUUAUUGUUAUUCCCUAAACAAUAUAGUAUAGCAACUAUUUACAUAACAUUUACACUGUAUUAGGCAUUACAAAUAAUUUAGAGAUGAUUUAAAGUAUACAGGAGGUUGUGCAUAGGUUGUAUGCAAAUACCAUGCCAUUAUACAUGAGAGACUUAAGCAUCUGUGGAGUUUGAUAUUAGCAGUAGGUCCUGGAAUCAAUCCUCCAGUGAUACUAAGGGAUAACUGUAUAUUCAUAUUCUGUCUCCUGGAAAGAUAUAAAAUGUCUCACAACAAAAGUAAUUUUUUUUAAAAAUUAAGAUUCAAGGAAGUAACACUAGGAAGUUCAAUUUGAAUGGAAUAUACAUAAAAUUUAUUUCUGGGUUCCCUGGGAGCCAAAGCAAAAAGGGAAACAUGAAAAAAAUGCAUAAUUUUUUUUUAUCAAAAAGGAGAAAGCAGAUUCACUCCCCCUGGAAAAAAAAGUGUUUGCAAAGACAAAAAUUCUAAAAAUAGUAAUUUAACAUAGACUUAACCUUUGGAAGAAAGAAGAAACAAUUCAAGGUGUUUGUAAUGUAAUGGAUUAUCAUAUAAUCAAGAACUAUGAUGAAAUAGAGAACACUCUUUCCUUUAAACCUAGAACAGAGAAAGAAUUCCUAUCAGAGAACUAUUAAUGGAAAGUCAGAACCACUAGGCUCUGAUGUGCAGAUCUAGGUUCAAAAUGCAGCGCUUAUUUAUCUAUUUAGUUAUGUGUUUAUGAGGCAACUAUUUGUUGAUUACCUAGUCUGUGCCAUUCAUGUUUCUAGGGCUGUGAUGGAGUGAUGAAAAAGAAAAAGUCCCUGCUCAUAAUUCACAUAAUGACUCCAGCACAUUAAUAUAAAAUUUUACAGUUUUAAUUGUCACAUGAUGUGUGAUGGAUGAAUUAUGAGUUAAUCAACUUACAUGAUACUUUAUGGUUUGCAAAAUGUUUUCACACAUCAUUACAACCCAAAUCUCCUUGCAGAAGCAUGGGGACAUUCUAGACAUAGCUCAACAUUCAAAUUUGGACUAAUGCUCCUGGUUAAGGAGUCUUGAUAUAUCAUGAAAGUAUUGGUUGUGCUUAUAUUUUUCCAUUAAAAAGGAUAUGCUUAAGAGCCCAUUUCAGUAAUUAGGAAGAAAGUUAGCUAGCAAAUGCCACAAGAGACUUUAACAUACCUUGAUGUGCUUAAGAGUUGAACAUUGCACUCAGUGACACUUAGUUUAAUGAAUAUCACAAUUUUCUUCACAUCCCAUGAAGCAUUGCAGGACUUUUGGCAAAAUGUGAGGUCCUUCUGCUAGGCACAGCUAGGAAAUACUAAUAACUGUUAAAUGAGAACCUCUUGUUCCUAUCUUAAGGCAAUGACAUCAUUCAUAUGGUUCACUCAGCCUCUCAGGCCUUUUAUUCUCCUCCUUCAGCAUGCCUAUUGCAUACAAUAGGUAAAGAAUUCUCCUUCUUUUCCAGUUAAUUAACCCACCUGCUAAUAAUACUCUUCUGUCCUUGAUUGAUUCAGAGCAACCUCCAGCUGUCAGCCUCCUAUCUAGUCAGAAGCUUUUGAUGAUGAAAAUGGAGUCCAUAAGAAAGAAAUGGGCUACAAAUAUUAAGUGCAGGCAGGCAAGGUGCAAGUAGGGUGAUAUCUUAUCCCAGUUUGCCCAGAAUUUUAUGCUUUUAGUGCUGAAGAUCCCAAGUCCUGGGAACCCACUAAAUAGGACUAGGAAUUGUUCCCCUAAGUGCAGGGAAUCAUCUCUAUAGUCAAACAGCAACAAAUGAGUAAACAUGAGGGGGCAGGUAACAGCAGAUGUUUUAGUUUGGAUUCCUCCAAUAGCAGGCUCUAAGUCUAGGAUUCCAUGCAAGUGGUUUACUGGGAGAUGAUCCUAGGAAACAGUGGUAGGGGAGAAGAGAAAUGAGAUAGGAAAGCAAUUGCCACUGUGGGCAUCUGGAACCUAUUCCUACUGAGAAACACUGAGAGUAGUGCAAUACAUGUGCCUUUGAGCCAUGCUGCCUGAGGGGAAUUGGAGUUGGGGUAACUACCAGUUGUUAGUUGAAGUCUGUUCUUAGUGGUGGAGGCGGAGUUUGCUAAUUGUGCCUGCUGAGCCUAUGGGCAGAGUGGACCUCAAUUUUCCGAGAAAGUUCUCCAACCAAAAGAUGCAGAUGCUGCAGGUAGAAGCUGUGCUAUAUUGCACACUGAAAUGGUAAGGUAGGACAGUGAUGAUGCUGUUACAAUGGGUCUACAUUGUUUUCCAGGUCAACUCAUUCUACAGCACUGACUGGCUAACUCUUCCCUGUGUGGACACAGCUUCUUUGGUAAUAUAAGAAAAAAACAUGUGUGCUAGAUAUGGGGGAGAGUAAGGAUUUGAGUGGAUAUUUGAAAGGCAGAUGAGUUUGAUGCCUUGGAAUCAUGCCUAAUAUAUGUUCUUUUCAUUCGUGAUUAUCAUAUAGCCAAACUAUAGAUAUGUGGGAUUAGUAGUCUCCAAUAAGGCCACUUCCAAGUAGUCUUCCAAGUAGCCUUCAAUCAUACCACUUCAGGCAUUAAUUCUAUUAGUCUGAAUGAUUUGGGCAGAUGAGACUUUUGAACACCACUUGGUCUUACCAUGGCUUAUGAGGCCUCAUUAUCAUAAAAAGUAGACUUGUUCUUUCACUUAUAUCUUUCUCUGAGCCAUUAUAAACCAUUUUAUUAUUUCUGUCUUUGAGCUGAACAAAGUUGUCUCUCAGGUCUCCUAUAGAAAUAUCUAGAACAUGACCUCCUUCUGAAGUUUGUAAUGUAUUCAGAGUGGAAUGCGAUGGUAAGCUGUGCACCUGGGUAUACAAGCAAGGUACUUGGAGUUGAUGGGUGAGCUACAUUCAGCCUCAUUCAGCCCUGAAGACCAAGAUUGUUCAUCUUCCAGCUGACCUGACAAGCACCUCUGCCAAAUAGAGAUUAUUGAAUCUGGAUAGACGCUGAAGAGUCAAUCAGAUUGUUGUUCAAGGAGUUUAGCAAAGACAAUUGGUGAACAGAAGCCAUAUGUAAUUAAAAGCCUCACUGUAGGGAGAGACCAGUGUGAGAAUUGCUUGGUUGUGGUGGAGAGAUCUUAGGCACAAAUGCAGAGCAGUUGUGUGGAGCUGUGGUCAUGACAGACGGUCUUUGGAAUGAGAAGCAAUGUUUCCCUGCCAUGGAGAGGAAAAGGAAACCAGGUGGCUCAACCUGGCUUGUGUCUUAAAAGUCAACCCAGCAUCUAUGAGUCUGCCUCUGAAGCUAUUGGGACACUCUUCUGUAUUCUUCAGUUCCCACGUGCAGCCUUAUGAGAAAUAGUUAAUUGUCUCCACCAACCCGAAAUAACCCAACUAACGUAUCUUUUAAGUAUUUGAAAUCACCACUCACCUGUCUCUGACUUAGGCUAAACAAUUUUAAUUCCAUUAUUUUUUAUUUUUACCAUUUAAACAUUAGUUUAAUUUUAAUUUUUUUUUUUCGGAGAUGGGGUCUUACUCUGUCGCCCAGGGCUGGAGUGCAGUUGCACAUGGCUCACUGCAGCCUCAACCUCCUGUGUUUAAGCGAUCCUCCCUACCUCUAGCCUCCUGAGAAGCUGGGACCACAGGCAUGUGCCAGCAUGCCCUGCUAAUUUUUACUUUUUUAUUUUUGUAGAGAUGCAGCCUCCUUAUGUUGCCCAGGGCUGGUCUCAAACUCCUGGGCUCAAGUGAUUCUCCUGCCUCGGCCUCCCAAAGUGCUGGGAUUAUAGGCAUGAGCCACUGCACCUGGCCUUAUUUUGAAUUUGAAGACUUAUACAUUCAAUUCAGCCUCUUCAAGUCCUCCUACCUAGGAGGCACUGGGGAGUAGACUAGCAUGAGAUAUGAGACUUAGGGUCAGAAAUACAUAGAUUCCAAGCUUGGCCCAGCAGUCCACUUUAAAUGUGCAUAUGGGCAAGCUACUUAACUUCUCUGAAGCUUAAAUGAGAAUUAUAUUUAUAAUUAACAAUAUUAUUAUUACCCCCACAAAAAAUAAGAUACGUGAAAAUCUUUUUCUCUACCCUUCCUUGCCCUCAGAUAUAUUCUAUGAAAGACUGAGAUUUGUUAUCUUAUAAAAUAGAAUCUAAUAAAGAAAAUAAAAGAGUAGGAAUUAAAAACAUGAUAAAUGGAGAAUAAUAAGUGAAGAAAGCCAAUAUUAUUUGAGCUACAAACUUAAUAGUGAGCUUCUUGGAAAUGAACAAAAGCAAAAUGCAAUAGUCACAUCCUACUCUAAUAAAAUGAAAUAUAAAAUUUUAUAAAGUAAGAAAUAUGAUUUUUAGUUUACCUGUAAUGUGAAUUGUUACAUUGGUUCUGUUUUAAGAGACAUUGAAACAGACAGCAGAAAUUUUAUAGUAGACAGAGAAAGGACCUCUGUAUCCUAUUUCUUUUAUUAACUGCAAAUUAAAAGCUAUGCAUGUAGAGUUGUGUUGGAGGUUUCUUGAAGGUAUUUUCAUAGACAGAUGAGAGAAGAUAUAGCCAAGGUAGCCAAGACAUGUUUUUUCUUUUCUUUUCUUUUCUUUUUUCUUUUUUCUUUUUGGGCGACAGGUUCUCACUCUGUUGCCCAGGCUGGAGUGCAGUGGCGCGAUCAUAGCUCACUGCAGCCUCAACAUCCUGAGCUCAAGCCAUCUUCCCAUGCAAGCCCCCCAGUAGCUGGGACUACAGGCAUGUGCCAGCACACCUGGCUAAUUUUUUAUUUUUAGUUUUUGUAGAGACGAGGUCUCACUACGUUGCCCAAGCUAGUCGUGAACUCCUGGACUCAAGGGAUCCUCCCACCUCAGUCUCCCAAAGUGUUGGAAUUACAGGCAUGAGCCACUUCCUGGCCAAGGCAUGUGUUUUCUAAUAAAAGUGAAUAAAUGUAGCAACACAGCAUGAAGGAUCUAGAGUAAUUGUUUAUGUCCUUUCUCUGUUUUCAAAUAUGAAUUGCCUUGGUUUAUUUUCAUAUUGCACUAGCUUCCUAACUGGUCUCCUUGCUGCAAUCUUGCAUGCCGUGAGUCUUUUCUCUAUGAGGCAGCCAGGACAAUAUUUCUAUUUUGUUGUGUCACUUGCUGGUUUUAAGCUAUUUCUACGGUCCACUCCUAAAUUCUUGAAGUUUUUCAGAUAUGCCAUGUAGUUCCCCCUUUGCACAUUCUCCUUUUCCUGGAAUACCAUCGCUAUUGUCAACUAGAUUGCCAGGUUAAUAUAAUCCUUUGGAAGUCAGAUCAGACAUCGCUACUUCUAGAAAAACUUAACCACCCCAACCUUGUCUGAAUUUGUUUCCUCUCCUCUGUGUUCUUAAGCAUUCUACUACACAGUAUUGUUAUUUUGUAUUUACCUGUCUAUAAGUCAGAGGCACCAUUGUCAGAUCUUCAUCAAGCCUUCUGUGUUGGCAGAGUCCUGUUAUAUAGGAGGGGCUUAAUACAUAUUUCUUAAGUGAGCGAAUGACUUAGUAGGAGCUGGCUUUCAAACCAAUAGUCAAUGUCAUGUUAAUAACCAAUGAACAUUUUCCCAAAGUAUGUUUCAGAAAACACUGCUUCUGAGAAAUAUUAUAGGUGUCCUGGACAGAACACUUCCAUAGUUAAGGAAGUAGAAAAUGCUGCAUGUUCUAUCUCUCCAAAAAGUCGCUAUUUUCAUUAGAAUAUUAAAGGCUCUGGCAUGUUUUUCAAUUAAUAAACUUAUUUACUAUAUAUUUUUCUUACUUUUGUGUGUGUGUGAUUGUGUAGUACCUGUUGGAACUAAUUACUUACGACAAAAACAGCUUGAAAAACCUUGCUCUGCAGGCUUUACUUAAAAUUCGGAAAUCAGAUCAAGCACUGUAGCUC